rnacentral:ribozyme from 13 species
AGAGAGGAGAGAGAGAGAGAAGAGAAAGAGAAGAGAGAACAUUCCUUUUUUCUUUCCUUUCUUUCCCUUUCCCUUUUUUCCUUUUUCCUUUUUCCUUUUUUCUUUUCCUUUUUU